rnacentral:lncRNA from 1 species
GGCUCUGAACUAGGACUCAUGCCUACACUCCUAGCCAAUCACUCUCAAGACCCCUGAGUGACACCCUUAGGAUAAAAAUCAUUGACUCAGUGGUAGGCAUGUACAAGGCUCCAAUAUUCAAGAUCAAACAGUCACAGGACAGUGGGAACAAAGUUAUCUGAAGGAGAGACAAGAAGGGAUGGCAAGAAUGGCAGAGACCACUUCCAUCUCCCUCCUUCCAAGCUGCGGGGAAAGCCUGCCAGCUUGUUACCCAUCCGACUUGUGAAGAAAGCUGAGAUAAAUUCUUUGCAGGACCGUGGAAAACAACCAUGGGCAGAGUGGGGCACCAGAUACCAUCCAUGUAGUACAACAGCUGACCAGACACAGGACUGUGGGCAAACCAGCCGUGCACAGCCCUGAAUGGAGCAAGAGCCUGUGCGGGCUUCCCAGGAGCACCCUGUAAUGAGAUAAGAGGACAGCAGUCACUUAACCACUGCCAUCUAUGCCACCAUCUUUGUCUUUUGUCUACACAGCACUUCCUUGGAGAAAAGGGGUGUAGAGAAGCAAAGACCCCCAUCUACCUCACCCCCCCCCGAAAUCUUGUACCAGGGGAAAAACGUGACUUUCCUGGGAACACCCUGGCACUCACAGCCUGGUUCAUAGGUACUUGGCCACUCAGUGGCAGCCAAAUUAUAAACAAGCACUGGAAAACAGAGCAAUUGAGGAAUCCAAGGAAGUGAAUGGACAAACUGUAUACAUCUUGGACCACAGAUCAGAAGUGGAGAACAGUGGACCUGAUUCCAGGAAGAAAGGAUGGAUCCAGCUGUCCCAGUGGUCAUAUGAAAAGGGCAGAAUCCUCUGCUACAUAUGGAUCAGCAGUGGCAAAGGGGAUGGGGUGGGGUAGGGAGGUCAUGGAGGGAAGCCUUGGAAGGGGGAAUAACAUUUGUAAUGUAAACAAAUAAAAUGAUUAAUAAAUUUUUA